rnacentral:rRNA from 1 species
GAUGAACGCUGGCGGCGUGCCUAAUACAUGCAAGUCGAGCGAACAGACGAGGAGCUUGCUCCUCUGACGUUAGCGGCGGACGGGUGAGUAACACGUGGAUAACCUACCUAUAAGACUGGGAUAACUUCGGGAAACCGGAGCUAAUACCGGAUAAUAUAUUGAACCGCAUGGUUCAAUAGUGAAAGACGGUUUUGCUGUCACUUAUAGAUGGAUCCGCGCCGCAUUAGCUAGUUGGUAAGGUAACGGCUUACCAAGGCGACGAUGCGUAGCCGACCUGAGAGGGUGAUCGGCCACACUGGAACUGAGACACGGUCCAGACUCCUACGGGAGGCAGCAGUAGGGAAUCUUCCGCAAAGGGCGAAAGCCUGACGGAGCAACGCCGCGUGAGUGAUGAAGGUCUUCGGAUCGUAAAACUCUGUUAUUAGGGAAGAACAAAUGUGUAAGUAACUAUGCACGUCUUAACGGUACCUAAUCAGAAAGCCACGGCUAACUACGUG